rnacentral:rRNA from 1 species
UACAGAGGGUGCAAGCGUUAAUCGGAAUUACUGGGCGUAAAGCGUGCGCAGGCGGUUUUGUAAGUCUGACGUGAAAUCCCCGGGCUCAACCUGGGAAUUGCGUUGGAGACUGCAAGGCUGGAGUCUGGCAGAGGGGGGUAGAAUUCCACGUGUAGCAGUGAAAUGCGUAGAGAUGUGGAGGAACACCAAUGGCGAAGGCAGCUCGCUGGGACGGUACUGACGCUGAGACGCGAAAGCGUGGGGAGCAAACAGG